UCGAGGAUCUUCGGCAAUGAGCGCAAGCUUGACCGAGCGACGCCGCGUGUGCGAUGAAGGCCUUCGGGUUGUAAAGCACUGUCGAGGGGGAGAAAGGGCAACUUGAUCUAUCCCUGGAGGAAGCACGGGCUAAGUUCGUGCCAGCAGCCGCGGUAAGACGAACCGUGCGAACGUUGUUCGGAAUCAUUGGGCUUAAAGGGCGCGUAGGCGGGCCAACAAGUCCGGGGUGAAAUACUCUAGCUCAACUAGAGAACUGCCCCGGAUACUGUGGGUCUCGAGGAAGGUAGGGGCAUGCGGAACGGGUGGUGGAGCGGUGAAAUGCGUUGAUAUCACUCGGAACUCCGGUGGCGAAGGCGGCGUGCUGGACCUUUUCUGACGCUGAGGCGCGAAAGCCAGGGGAGCGAACG
rnacentral:rRNA from 1 species